rnacentral:rRNA from 1 species
CGCGGUAAUUUGACCGUGCGAAGGUAGCAUAAUCAAUAGUCUCUUAAUUGGAGGCUGGAAUGAAUGGUCGUACAAGAAGUAGUCUGUCUUUUUUAUAAAAAUUGAAUUUAACUUUUAAGUGAAAAGGCUUAAAUUUUCUGAGGGGACGAUAAGACCCUAUAAAACUUUACAUGAGUUAGGUUGGUUUAAAAAUUUAAGUAUAAAAAGAACUAUUUUUAUCUUGUUACGUUGGGGCGACGAAAAUAUAAAUUGUAACUGUUUGUUGUUUUGAAAUAAAAGUAUUUAGUUAUGUUGAUCCUUUAUUAUGGAUUAUAAGAAUAAGUUACUUUAGGGAUAACAGCGUGAUUUUUUCUGAGAGUUCUUAUCGAAGAAAGUAGUUGCGACCUCGAUGUUGAAUUAAAGUUUCGUCAAGGUGUAGGAG